AUUAUCAGCUUUAGCUAUAUUUACACAUGCAAGUAUCCGCACCCCCGUGAAAAUGCCCUACAGUUCCCUGUCUGGGAACAAGGAGCUGGUAUCAGGCACAACAUAGAACAGCCCACGACGCCUUGCUUAGCCACACCCCCAAGGGAAUUCAGCAGUGAUAGACAUUAAGCCAUGAGUGAAAACUUGACUUAGUUAAAGCUAAGAGGGCCGGUAAAACUCGUGCCAGCCACCGCGGUUAUACGAGAGACCCAAGUUGAUAAGCAUCGGCGUAAAGAGUGGUUAUGGAUAAAUCAAAAACUAAAGCCAAAUGCCCCCAAGGCUGUUAUACGCACCCGGAGGCCAGAAACCCAACUACGAAAGUGGCUUUACUAAUGCCUGAACCCACGAAAGCUAUGACACAAACUGGGAUUAGAUACCCCACUAUGCCUAGCCCUAAACAUUGAUAGUGCACUACAAUUACUAUCCGCCUGGGAACUACGAGCACCAGCUUAAAACCCAAAGGACUUGGCGGUGCUUUAGAUCCACCUAGAGGAGCCUGUUCUAGAACCGAUAAUCCCCGUUAAACCUCACCUCUCCUUGUCCUUCCCGCCUAUAUACCGCCGUCGUCAGCUUACCCUGUGAGGGAUAAAUAGUAAGCACAAUUGGUAAUACCCAAAACGCCAGGUCGAGGUGUAGCGUAUGGAGGGGGAAGAAAUGGGCUACAUUCAGUACAUUACUGUAUUACGGAGGGCGGGCUGAAACGCCCACCUGAAGGAGGAUUUAGUAGUAAGUGGAAAAUAGAGAGUUCCACUGAAACCGGCCCUGAAGCGCGUACACACCGCCCGUCACUCUCCCCGAAAAUAAAUUUAACACUACCUAAAACAUUAUUACCCAAAAGGGGAGGC
rnacentral:ncRNA from 1 species